rnacentral:rRNA from 1 species
ACUCCUGCGGGAGGCAGCAGUGGGGAAUUUUGGACAAUGGGCGAAAGCCUGAUCCAGCAAUGCCGCGUGAGUGAAGAAGGCCUUCGGGUUGUAAAGCUCUUUUGUCAGGGAAGAAACGGUGAAAGCUAAUAUCUUUUGCUAAUGACGGUACCUGAAGAAUAAGCACCGGCUAACUACGUGCCAGCAGCCGCGGUAAUACGUAGGGUGCAAGCGUUAAUCGGAAUUACUGGGCGUAAAGCGUGCGCAGGCGGUUUUGUAAGUCUGAUGUGAAAUCCCCGGGCUCAACCUGGGAAUUGCAUUGGAGACUGCAAGGCUAGAAUCUGGCAGAGGGGGGUAGAAUUCCACGUGUAGCAGUGAAAUGCGUAGAUAUGUGGAGGAACACCGAUGGCGAAGGCAGCCCCCUGGGUCAAGAUUGACGCUCAUGCACGAAAGCGUGGGGAGCAAACAGGAUUAGAAACCCCUGUAGUCCC